GAUGAACGCUGGCGGCGUGCCUAAUACAUGCAAGUCGAGCGAACGGACGAGAAGCUUGCUUCUCUGAUGUUAGCGGCGGACGGGUGAGUAACACGUGGAUAACCUACCUAUAAGACUGGGAUAACUUCGGGAAACCGGAGCUAAUACCGGAUAAUAUUUUGAACCGCAUGGUUCAAAAGUGAAAGACGGUCUUGCUGUCACUUAUAGAUGGAUCCGCGCUGCAUUAGCUAGUUGGUAGGUAACGGCUUACCAAGGCAACGAUGCAUAGCCGACCUGAGAGGGUGAUCGGCCACACUGGAACUGAGACACGGUCCAGACUCCUACGGGAGGCAGCAGUAGGGAAUCUUCCGCAAUGGGCGAAAGCCUGACGGAGCAACGCCGCGUGAGUGAUGAAGGUCUUCGGAUCGUAAAACUCUGUUAUUAGGGAAGAACAUAUGUGUAAGUAACUGUGCACAUCUUGACGGCACCUAAUCAGAAAGCCACGGCUAACUACGUGC
rnacentral:rRNA from 1 species